UUAAUUUAUUUGCUUGUAUUACUCAGAAGAUACUCAUGAAGACAAGAGUUUGGGUCCUCCGGCGGGCGCCUGGGUCCGGGCCCGAGGGCGCCGGGGCGAUCCCGCCGAAGCAACAAUAGGUAUGUUCACAGGGGUUUGGGAGUUGUAAACUCGGUAAUGAUCCCUCCGCUGGUUCACCAACGGAGA
rnacentral:misc_RNA from 1 species